CAGUAGCCACGGGAAUACGGAGGGUGCAAGCGUUACUCGGAAUCACUGGGCGUAAAGGACGCGUAGGCGGAUUAUCAAGUCUCUUGUGAAAUCUAACGGCUUAACCGUUAAACUGCUUGGGAAACUGAUAAUCUAGAGUAAGGGAGAGGCAGAUGGAAUUCUUGGUGUAGGGGUAAAAUCCGUAGAUAUCAAGAAGAAUACCUAUUGCGAAGGCGAUCUGCUGGAACUUAACUGACGCUAAUGCGUGAAAGCGUGGGGAGCAAACAGGAUUAGAUACCCCCGUAGUCCCUGUCUCUUAUAC
rnacentral:rRNA from 1 species